rnacentral:rRNA from 1 species
AGAGCGAACGCUGGCGGCAGGCCUAACACAUGCAAGUCGAGCGCCCGUAGCAAUACGGGGGCGGCAGACGGGAUAGUAACACGUGGGAACGCGCCCUUCGGUUCGGAAUAACUCAGGGAAACUUGAGCUAAUACCGAAUACGCCCUUACGGGGAAAGAUUUAUUGCCGAAGGAACGGCCCGCGUCCGAUUAGCUAGUUGGUGAGGUAAUGGCUCACCAAGGCUACGAUCGGUAGCUGGUCUGAGAGGAUGACCAGCAUCACUGGGACUGAGACACGGCCCAGACUCCUACGGGAGGCAGCAGUGGGGAAUAUUGGACAAUGGGCGCAAGCCUGAUCCAGCCAUGCCGCGUGGAUGAUGAAGGCCUUAGGGUUGUAAAGUCCUUUUAACGGGGAAGAUAAUGACGGUACCGUAGAAUAAGCCCCGGCUAACUUCGUGCCAGCAGCCGC